rnacentral:misc_RNA from 1 species
GUAAACCACAUCAACGUUAAGAGUAUAUUAAAAAAUUAUAGGAUCUUUCAAUGCAUAUUUUAUAUUUCACACAACAAUCACGCUGUUGUCAUAUAUAAUUUCCUUUCAUCAAUUAAUUGCUUCAUCAAUCAUAAGUAAUCCCAGUAAUACUGGAGUUAAACUAAAUAAAAAGAGCAGAUAUCUGUACCUCGCAAGAGUAACACUCACCUUUAAAUUCGUAGCCACCUGCAAUUUGAUCAAAAUAUACUGAUGUAAUGAAGCAGGAAGAAAAAACAACAAAUGAAAGAACAGAUAAAACG